rnacentral:misc_RNA from 1 species
GAUGAAGAACGUAGCGAAAUGCGAUAAGUAAUGUGAAUUGCAGAAUUCAGUGAAUCAUCGAAUCUUUGAACGCACAUUGCGCCCGCCAGUAUUCUGGCGGGCAUGCCUGUUCGAGCGUCAUUACAACCCUCAGGCCCCCGGGCCUGGCGUUGGGGAUCGGCGGAAGCCCCCUGCGGGCACAACGCCGUCCCCCAAAUACAGUGGCGGUCCCGCCGCAGCUUCCAUUGCGUAGUAGCUAACACCUCGCAACUGGAGAGCGGCGCGGCCACGCCGUAAAACACCCAAUUUUAUUAGAGUUGACCUCGAAUCAGGUAGGAAUACCCGCUGAACUUAAGCAUAUCAAUAAGCGGAGGA